GACGAACGCUGGCGGCGUGCUUAACACAUGCAAGUCGAACGGAAAGGCCCUGCUUUUGUGGGGUGCUCGAGUGGCGAACGGGUGAGUAACACGUGAGUAACCUGCCCUUGACUUUGGGAUAACUUCAGGAAACUGGGGCUAAUACCGGAUAGGAGCUCCUGCUGCAUGGUGGGGGUUGGAAAGUUUCGGCGGUUGGGGAUGGACUCGCGGCUUAUCAGCUUGUUGGUGGGGUAGUGGCUUACCAAGGCUUUGACGGGUAGCCGGCCUGAGAGGGUGACCGGCCACAUUGGGUCUGAGAUCCGGCCCAGACUCCUACGGGAGGCAGCAGUGGGGAAUAUUGCACAAUGGGCGGAGGCCUGAUGCAGCAACGCCGCGUGCGGGAUGACGGCCUUCGGGUUGUAAACCGCUUUCGCCUGUGACGAAGCGUGAGUGACGGUAAUGGGUAAAGAAGCACCGGCUACCUACUU
rnacentral:rRNA from 1 species